rnacentral:lncRNA from 1 species
CGGCAAAAGUCAAACCAAACCUAUCAAAUAGCAAAGACAACAGACAGAUAGCACAUGCAAUUAAACAUAGGCAACACUUGCUCUCACUGUACAAAAAACUAGAGUAGUAAAAGUAAGAGAACGCAACUUAAUUAACCAUCAUUGGCGGAGACAAAAUUCUAGCACUUGUCAUCGGCAGCAUUUCCAUUUUUCACAGUCUCCAUCUGUACGGUAGAUUUAGACUUCCUUGGCUUGAACCAUAUCGCAGCAAUUAGGUAAAGCCCAAAGUUUAUGACUCCCAAUAUAGCAAGAAGGCCAUAGAAUCAUCUAUGGGUAGCCCUGCUGACCCACACCCAACCCCGGGUGAGGCGUACGAAAAACUCUAGGAGCCCCUAACCUACAACCCUGAUUCUAGACCUCCAGACUCUCCUAUCAUGGGUCAUGUCCUCGGAAACCUGCAUUCUAGUCAUAUACUGCUUAAUCAACUCUCCCCAAUGCUUCUUAGGCCUCCCUCUGCCUCGCCGACCGCCAACAAUCUCUAGCCGCUCACGGCUCCUCACCGGGGCAUCGGGACCCCUCCUCCGUACAUGCCCGAACCACCUCAGCCUCGCGUCUCGCAUCUUCUCAUCCACCGGGGCCACCACUACCUUCUCUCGAAUAACUUCAUUCUUAAACUUAUCUAGCCUGGUGUGCCCGCACAUCCACCUAAGCAUCCUCAUCUCCGCAACCUUCAUUCUCUGAACAUGAGAGUUCUUCACGGGCCAGCACACCGCCCCAUACAACAUCGCAGGUCUAACCACGGCUCUAUAGAAUUUCCCUUUGAGCUUGUGAGGAACUUUCUUGUCACACAGGACCCCUGAUGCAAGCCGCGACCGCCAACAAUCUCCAGCUGCUCACAGCUCCUCACCGGGGCAUCGGGACCCCUACUCCGUACAUGCCCGAACCACCUCAGCCUCGCUUCAAAUAAUGUAAUUGUUUAGAUACCAUAGUGUUAUGAGAAUGGUUUGUUCAUUUUGUGUUUGUCAAAUGAUAUUGUUUUGAUUGGUUGAUAAUUGAAUGCUCGACUAUGUAUAACAUCUAAAGCAUGCACAACUUCUAAUGCCUUAGCUAUAAUUCGUGGCAUGUGAAUAAACCUUGAAUUAAUUUAGGAAGUAAGUAUGCGCCCUCGUAGUUCACUUUAAGCACAAAUCCUUUGAAGUAAAUUGAGGUGUGCCAUUCGCAAAAUGAAUCCCAUAAUCUAUGGUCCUCGCACGUGUAGAAAAGACUUGGAACAUUCAUAACUAGUUUAGAAGACACUUUGAACCGUCGUAGUUUGUUUUAGGAGCGUUUAUAAUAAAUUAUCGUGGUUAUGGGUGCGGUUCCCAUGUCAUAGUUACGAUAUGUAAUUUCUAAAUUCGGGUGUACAUUUAUGUGAUACGACUAUAAUUUAUAAUUUUGUUAAUGAAUUAAACAUGUUGUAUAUCGUGGGUACUCUGUGAUACGAUUCGCGAUGUGUACCAAAUAAAUAAGUGUAUGAAAAUCGUGAUUUAUUCUAUAAAUGUUGAAGGCGGUUAAAAGGUAUAAAGUAUGUAAUUAAUCAGAUAAUUAGGUCAAUAUUAAUAGUUGAGCAACCAUGCUAAAAUCAUAGAACUCAGAAAUAUCUAACACCUUCUCCCGGGUUAACAGAAUUCCUUACCCAAUUUUUUGUAUUUCGCGGACUGUAAAACAGAGUCAAACUUCCUUGAUUCGGGAUUUUAAACCGAUGACUUGGGAAACCAUAAAUUGUUCCAAGCGGUAACUCCGAGCUUAAAUAAAUAAUUCCGUUUCGAUCAUUGUCACAUUAAUUGGAAAAACUCCGUUAUAUACCCUUCUCGGGGUAGAAAAAGGAGGUUUGACACGCGGUUGUUUUCCAAAGGAUGACUCUUUGAACCGGGCAGUAAUUAUUUUAGGUAGAAUUUUCAAAAAAUUUAGACUUUUCCCAACGAUGAAUUUCUUGGACAAUUUUCUUGAGGGAUUAAAGUCUAAAGGCAAAAUAUACAAAAAGAUUUUUCUUUUCUUUUUAGAAAUGACAAUGGAAUGAGAAAAAGUUGAGUAUCGGUACUUUUUGACAAGUUUUUUUGGCAAGACUUAGAGCUGUAAUAUUUGAAUUGAUUACCAUCUUCGUGUUCUAUGAGCCUACAUGCCUUGUGAAUAUAUGCGACUUUCAUUUUGAUGCUUAAGUUCAUUUGUUGAUCAUGUGAUUACUUUCGAUGAGUUGAGUUAAUAUGAUGGCUAUGCUUAGUUAUUUAAUUUGAGUGACGGUCUGAACUUUUCGAAGUGAAUCAUGUGUAUUGUGUGAUGUGAGGCUUGAUUACAUUUUGUGCUAACUUGUAUUAGUGUAGAACUUGCCACGUGUAUUAAUAGAAAGCGAAAUAAGUAAAUUUUAUGAGUCUUAGCGAUGAUGUAGGCGUUGCUUUGAUUGUCCAUUGAGCUAGUAUGUCACCAUAAAUAAAAUUAUCUUUAAAUAGCCUAUUUGAGCCUAUAAACCUUUUCUUUGACACCCACUUUAUAGUUGAUUUCCUUUUUAUUCUUAAUUAGAUCUUUUUGAACAUUUACCUCCAAAAGCACUUAAGUCGCAAGAAGAGUAAGGUGAGAGUUGGGGUAAACUUUGAGUGGAAUCACAGAAUGAAAUGUGCACGUAUGUUUUGAAAGCACAUUCCCGAGCAACCCAAGUUUGGGGAGUGUUGGAAAAAAAAGAAAAAAAAUCAAAGAAAAUACAAAAAGAAAAAUGGAAAAAAUAGAAAAUACAUCUCUCAUUCCUCUUAAUCCGGGCUAGUGAAUGCAUAGUCUUGCUUAAAGAAGAUGAGUUAAAUCGUAUAUAAUUUCGUAGCAUUGCUUGAAUUGGUCAUGAAGAGUGUGUAUUUGAAAGUUAAGUGUAGUGUAUUAAAGUGCCUGGGAGGGUUAGUCACUAUACCCAAAUAUAUCAUACCCAUCCCUUAACCUAUAUUACAACCUGGAAAGACCUAAUUAAUCCUAGACUUCACAAGCUUAAAUUAGUAGAGACAUACACUACUGGCAAGUCCAUUGUACGACCUCGAGAUGCACAUGAAUUUCUUUGUGAGAGUAAGUAAAUUUUUUCUAUUUUUAAGUCCUUAAAUUAUACUUAAAUGCAUAUUUGAGUGAGUGGAUUAAUUUCUCUCUUUGAUUGUUGUGAGAGCACAUCAUGUACGAAAGAUUGGUAAUGUUUAGGCAUUUUAAAUUGACACAAAAAUUGAGUCAUAGUAGGAAACGUAUUGGAGUAGUCUUUUAAGGUUAAGAUGUUAGAAAAAGUCAUAGAUAUAUUUCAAAUAGUCUUGGCAUGGGUAAAAUUUUGAAGAAAGAUGUUAAUAGUUGGGUUCUAAGGGUCGGUAAAAAGCAUUUUCAUUGGUGUGAUGCUUGAAUAAUUUGUGUUAAAAUGUGUUUCUCGCCAGUGAACUUAAUUUUGAAAUAUGCUCGAGGUCGCGAAAGAGUUUAAGUGUAGGGGUGCUGAUAAAAUAGUGAAAAAUGCAUAUUUUAGUUUUUGUUGUGAAUUAUGCCCAUUACAUGCAUUCAUAUGUGUAAGAGACAGUUAAAUGAAAGGUGAGUAAAAGAAGUUGAUACAGGACCAAAAGACAAAAGAAAAUGUUCGCUCAUUCACUCUCACGUGCACACAAGGGUGUGAACGAGCUAGAUGAGGGGAGUUUGAAAAAAAAAAAUAGAGAAUUAUGGAAAAAAGGCAUAUAAGUGCACGAAGACCUAGAAGGGAAAAAAAUCUUUGCUCGCUCGCGAGAGUGAACGAACUAAUCUAAAAAGACUGCUCCGAAGUGGGCUUGUAUUACUUCUCCCCAUGCAAACCCUAUCACAUAGAAAUAGCCCUUAAACCCACUUUAGGAGGAGAUUCAACCUAAGGAGGGAAGAUUCGACCUAUGGAGGUAAGAACACACAAGGAGCAAGACGGAGAAUUCUUCUACGAGUUUUUCACUUUCUUCUUCCUAUUUCUAUUAUUAGUUACGCAUUCUAGUAUUGUAGUUUGUAUACUAUUAUGAAUGACUAGUUUUUUAUCCAUGAUUUUGAUACAACCUUUUGUAGGGUGGAUUCUUCAUACGUUUUGAUAUAAUAGAAUAUUUGAGUUUUUUCUACUUGUUCAGCUACAUGCUUAUUUUAGUUAAUUGAGCUCUCAGUUAAUGAUGCAUAUUUAUUAUGUAUUGCUUGAAAAAGAGUACAUAUUUAGGUAGUUGUUGAACAACGUCACUCGUAACAUAUGUGAGAGAUUAAUAUGGUGGGUUUAAAAGCGGGAUUAGAGAUAAUGAAACUUUGACGUGAUCAUAGUGACUAGUGAAAAAGUGCGAGCUAGCGCAAUUCGAGAGAAUAUAACUAGUACAUUGUUGUAGUUGCUCGAGAGAGAAUUAGAAUAAGUCGAGUUCUCACAAUCACUGAAGAAUGUUUAGGCAAAUUAUAAAAGGCGUAGGGGGUAAGAUUUCGACAAUUGGGGAAAUCAUAACUCUAGACCUCUCUAAUCUUGUCUCCAACUCUUAAUAUCUUUAGUUGCUAAUUUAUUACUGUAAGUUGUUAGUUAAUUAGUUAGACAUAAGAAUCUUGACAUUUUAUAACUUACCAAUUGUUCGAGAUAGUCUUCUUUGUGAUACUUAAUAGUUACAACAAAACUUUAACUUUUUGUGGAAUUCGAUUCCAAAUUCUUAAAUCAGGAUAUAUUUACAGCGAUCACUUAUAUAAUUGCGCUUAUUCAGAAAUGAAAUAGACGUGUUAUCAACAGAGAAAUGACAUUAAUAGACGGCAAAAGUCAAACCAAACCUAUCAAAUAGCAAAGACAACAGACAGAUAGCACAUGCAAUUAAACAUAGGCAACACUUGCUCUCACUGUACAAAAAACUAGAGUAGUAAAAGUAAGAGAACGCAACUUAAUUAACCAUCAUUGGCGGAGACAAAAUUCUAGCACUUGUCAUCGGCAGCAUUUCCAUUUUUCACAGUCUCCAUCUGUACGGUAGAUUUAGACUUCCUUGGCUUGAACCAUAUCGCAGCAAUUAGGUAAAGCCCAAAGUUUAUGACUCCCAAUAUAGCAAGAAGGCCAUAGAAACAAUCAAGCCUUGCGUAAUUUAUGUUGUCUGCAAGCCAGCCAUUACCGCCAUUGCUUCCUGUCACCUUCUUGAUAAUAGAGACCAAGAAAC